AUUGAACGCUGGCGGCAGGCUUAACACAUGCAAGUCGAACGGCAGCACGGGAGCAAUCCUGGUGGCGAGUGGCGAACGGGUGAGUAAAGUAUCGGAACGUGCCCAGUCGUGGGGGAUAACGUAGCGAAAGUUACGCUAAUACCGCAUACGAUCUAUGGAUGAAAGCGGGGGAUCGCAAGACCUCGCGCGAUUGGAGCGGCCGAUAUCAGAUUAGGUAGUUGGUGGGGUAAAGGCUCACCAAGCCGACGAUCUGUAGCUGGUCUGAGAGGACGACCAGCCACACUGGGACUGAGACACGGCCCAGACUCCUACGGGAGGCAGCAGUGGGGAAUUUUGGACAAUGGGCGAAAGCCUGAUCCAGCCAUGCCGCGUGCAGGAUGAAGGCCUUCGGGUUGUAAACUGCUUUUGUACGGAACGAAAAGGUUUGGCCUAAUAAGCUGAGCUCAUGACGGUACCGUAGGAAUAAGCACCGGCUAACUACGUGCCAGCAGCCGCCGUAA
rnacentral:rRNA from 1 species